CCACACCUAAAAAACUUUCCACGUGACCGUUUCAACCCAAUAGUUGGGGGUCUUAUUUGGCGGCGGCUGCUGGCUUAAUUGUUGGCGGCUGCUGCUGAGUGAGCCCUAUCAAAAAAAAGGCGAACGUUUGGGCUUCGGCCUGAUUUAGUAGUCUUUUUUUCUUUUAAACCCAUUCCUUAAUACUGAAUAUACUGUGGGGACGAAAGUCUCUGCUUUUAACUAGAUAGCAACUUUCAGCAGUGGAUGUCUAGGCUCGCACAUCGAUGAAGAACGCUGCGAACUGCGAUACGUAAUGCGAAUUGCAGGAUUCAGUGAGUCAUCGAAAUUUUGAACGCAUAUUGCACUUCCGGGUUAGUCCUGGAAGUAUGCCUGUAUCAGUGUCCGUACAUUAAACUUGACUUUCUUCCUUCCGUGUAGUCGGUGGAGGAGAUGUCAGAUGUGAAGUGUCUUGCGAUUGGUCUUCGGACCGGCUGCGAGUCCUUUUAAAUGUACUAAACUGAACUUCUCUUUGCUCGAAAAGUGGUGGCGUUGCUGGUUGUGAAGGCUGCUAUUGUGGCAAAUUGGCGACUGGUUUGUCUGCUGCGGCGUUAAUGGAAGAGUGUUCGAUUCGUGGUAUGGUUGGCUUCGGCUGAACAAUGCACUUAUUGGACGUUUUUCCUGCUGUGGCGUGAUGGACUGGUGAACCAUAGCUCGGUGGCUUGGCUUUUGAAUUGGCUUUGCUGUUGCGAAGUAGGGUGGCAGCUUCGGUUGUCGAGGGUCGAUCCAUUUGGGAACUUAAUGUGUACUUCGGUAUGCAUCUCAA
rnacentral:rRNA from 1 species